GUAACACCAAAGUUUCGGGAAUCCUCUGCGAUAUACAUAGAUAACGUUUCGCGUUAUGUAGGUAUCGAAUGUUUUACCGACACGUAAGCUAUCCCGUUGUUUGAAGCGUGACUCGGAGUUGACUAACAAGACGCUAAUCAUCAUCGCGGAUAAUUUAAUUGCGUGACCAGGCGUAAAUAGAGCAUCUCCGUCUGUUUACCCGUUCUCCCUCUUCAAUAAAUAAGUCACAAUGUAAUGCCCCUGCUUACCUGAGAUUCGUCGGGAACAUGUCGACGAUUACGCAAUACACCAACGAGAUACCGAGAGACGUCAGAGCCUCGAAUACACAGGACAGUACCAGGUUUUGUGUCGAGUCCACCACGUAGUAGAAGGCCACUGUAACUGCCCCCGAAACCAGCAAGGACAUGACUGGAAACAAAGAUUUUUGUUGCGAGCAUACCAAGCACAAUUAAAAAUAUGAUAGGACCUCUAUGUUCGGCUAUCAUUCCUUUCUUCUUUUUUUGAAUAUAUGGGGACUGUUUGUAAGUACUUACUGAGGAAGAAUUUAGCACCGAGUUUGUGCACAAACAGAGGAAGGAUAAUGGAUCCUGGAAUGCAGGCGAUUCCGAUGUACACCGUGUGCAGAUAGACCGAGGAUGCGAUUACGGUUUCGCAUCCGAAAGGAUCAACGUUGGUCGCGUUGUCCGAUAUCGCCGAUACUAUGCACACCGACGUGGUCUCGUUAGGAUUUUGGUGCUCGAACUGCUCGAACCUGGAAGUUUAAAUUUUAAAAUUCAUAGCUGAACUCUGAGAACCAAAGUUUUCCUAAUUUCUUGAUUUUAGGACUCGGAUACCUGGUGAAUAAUUCGGGGAACCAGACCAUGAGGGUAUAGUAGCUGCUGGUCAGGCCAAACUGAAUACCGCAGGCCAGCAGCGUGUU